AUUGAACGCUGGCGGCAGGCCUAACACAUGCAAGUCGAACGAGUGGCGGACGGGUGAGUAAUGUCUGGGAAACUGCCUGAUGGUGGGGGAUAACUACUGGAAACGGUAGCUAAUACCGCAUACCAUCAUAUGUUCCCAGCGGGGAUGAGUUUGUUGGUGGGGUAACGCCUCACCAAGGCGACGAUCCCUAGCUGGUCUGCGAGGAUGACCAGCCACACUGGACCGGAGACACGGUCGAGACUCCGACUGGAGGCAGCAUUGGGGAAGAUUGCACAAGGGGCGCAAGCCUGAUGCAGCCAGGCCGGGUGUAUGAAGAAGGCCUUCGGGUUGUAAAGUACUUUCAGCGGGGAGGCGUUACCCGCAGAAGAAGCACCGGCUAACUCCGUGCCAGCAGCCGCGGUAAUAC
rnacentral:rRNA from 1 species